rnacentral:rRNA from 1 species
UACAGAGACUGCAAGCGUUAUUCGGAUUCACUGGGCGUAAAGGGUGCGCAGGCGGCCAGGUGUGUCAGGUGUGAAAGCUCGAGGCUUAACCUCGAAACAGCGCCUGAAACUAUCUGGCUAGAGUAUCGGAGAGGUGAGCGGAAUUCAUGGUGUAGCAGUGAAAUGCGUAGAUAUCAUGAGGAACACCAGAGGCGAAGGCGGCUCACUGGACGAUUACUGACGCUCAGGCACGAAAGCGUGGGGAGCGAAA